rnacentral:rRNA from 1 species
UACGGAGGGGGCUAGCGUUGUUCGGAAUUACUGGGCGUAAAGCGCACGUAGGCGGCUGUUCAAGUCAGAGGUGAAAGCCCGGAGCUCAACUUCGGAAUUGCCUUUGAAACUAGACAGCUUGAACGUCGGAGAGGUGAGUGGAAUUCCGAGUGUAGAGGUGAAAUUCGUAGAUAUUCGGAAGAACACCAGUGGCGAAGGCGGCUCACUGGACGACUGUUGACGCUGAGGUGCGAAAGCGUGGGGAGCAAACAGG